ACCCUCUAACACUUUAAAGUUUGUGUUGUGAUUUUGUCUUAGAAAAAAAAUGAAAAUUAUAGCAUGUGUUGUUUUGGUGAUGUGCAUGGUAGUUGCAGCAGCACCUAUGGCAGAAGGUGCAAUCACAUGUUCAAGUGUAAUUGGUGCUCUUGAUACAUGCACUAGUUAGUAGUUAUCUUCAAGGUGAUUCUGGUCCUUCGGAUGAUUGUUGUUAUGGAGUGCAUGAAGUUAUGGAUUCAGCUGGCAGCAUCAUUGUCCAUUGAUCAGAGGAAUAUUUGUUACUGCUUUUCAUAUGGGAUAUUUCUAUUAAUGCUCCUAGUUUUGACGUACCAAGCAAAUGCCGAUGAUCUUCUUUUCAACUGUGGUGUUACAAAGCCCUACAAGAUUAGUCCCAAUACCAACUGUGCUAGCAUUCCGUAAGAUUUUACAGAUGAGAAUAAUGGAAACUUCUCAUUAGUAAAUGAGAAUGCCAAGUAUUGCUCUAUUAAGGAAUAAGAGUGUUUGUACCCAAAAAUAUUCAUAAAAAUGAGAGUGAUGGAGGCUCAUGUUAAAUAGGGCCCUAUUUUCUUAUUUUAAUUUCAGUUUCUGAAUAAUCGUCACAUUAUCUGUUGAAAAACAAACGAAUAAUAUGUUGUACUUUUCUAUAAAUAAAGCAAAAAGGUUAGGUUGUAUUA